CGAAUUCUGCAGUCUGUGGUUGAAAUUCGCGUGUAAUUAUUAUUUUAAAACGUAGUGAAAUUAGGUGGAAAUUAGACAGAAAACACUCCUGCAUAUUGUAUAUCAUACAUAAUAUAUUUAUUGUACAACUACAAUCAUAUAAUAAACACGACAAGCUUGGCAUAAUGUCAUACUACACUACUCCAUCAAAGUGGUGCGUCGGGGCCAACGCAGACAUUAGGUUUAUUUGAUUAUUUAACAUAAAACCAGUGGUUAAGUAAUUAACUUGUACACUAUGGAAUUUAUCCAACAAAUCAUACUAAUAUUACUUAAUGCGAAAGUGUGUUUAGUCGUAAUUUAUUUUUAUGCAUGGAUAAUGGAUAUACAUAUUAGUUAAGAAUCUGGAGAGUGACAUACUAGGCUCUUUUUUAUGCCGGAAAAUCAAAGAGUUCCCACGGGUUUUUGAAGCCAUAAAUCCACGCAGAAGUUGCGGGCAUUAGCUAGUAUGAAAUAAAUGUAAAAGAAUAUAAGGCUGACCGCUGAAAUCUAAUAGAUUGUACUUUAACUUCGUUUCAGUAAAAACGAGACAGAUUUAUGCACGCUCUAUAACGCUGACUCCUUUUUAUGGUAUCUUAAGUCAAAGCAAAGCCAAGUGCGGUCUAUAGAUUUCAGCCUUAGUGUCCAACGGCUAGACUCGCGUGAUUAAUAAUUUAAUAUAAACCCCCUUACAGCAUACCUUGCGGGUCGCAGCCCGUGUGGUUCGCAGUCUCCGCGCCGAGUUUUUUUUUAAAGGCCUUUGCCUUUGAAAAAGGACCCCAGACGGUUUCGAAAUUAGUCUAUGUCUAGCCAUUAGAUAUUUCUAUGGACAUCACUCACAAUAGUUUAAAAUUAAAACCUGCCUGGAAACUUAGAAAGAGAUAACGGUUUCGUAGAGUUAUCUCUGUCAUUGAGACCGACGAAACAUCACAUAGGUAUGAGUGACAGAGACAACGCUCUACGAAGCCAAAAUCUCUUUCUAAAGUCCGAUGUACAAUACUUUAAAUAUUUUUUUGACAAUAAAUGAACUCUUUAAAAAU